rnacentral:rRNA from 1 species
GAUGAACGCUGGCGGCGUGCCUAAUACAUGCCAGUCGAGCGAACAGAUAAGGAGCUUGCUCCUUUGACGUUAGCGGCGGACGGGUGAGUAACACGUGGGUAACCUACCUAUAAGACUGGGAUAACUUCGGGAAACCGGAGCUAAUACCGGAUAACAUUUGGAACCGCAUGGUUCUAAAGUGAAAGAUGGUUUUGCUAUCACUUAUAGAUGGACCCGCGCCGUAUUAGCUAGUUGGUAAGGUAACGGCUUACCAAGGCAACGAUACGUAGCCGACCUGAGAGGGUGAUCGGCCACACUGGAACUGAGAUACGGUCCAGACUCCUACGGGAGGCAGCAGUAGGGAAUCUUCCGCAAUGGGCGAAAGCCUGACGGAGCAACGCCGCGUGAGUGAUGAAGGGUUUCGGCUCGUAAAACUCUGUUAUUAGGGAAGAACAAAUGUGUAAGUAACUGUGCACGUCUUGACGGUACCUAAUCAGAAAGCCACGGCUAACUACGUG